UCGGGGAAUAUUGGACAAUGGGCGCAAGCCUGAUCCAGCCUACCGCGUGGGUGAAGAAGGCCUUCGGGUUGUAAAGCCCUUUUGUUGGGAAAGAAAUCCAGCUGGUUAAUACCCGGUUGGGAUGACGGUACCCAAAGAAUAAGCACCGGCUAACUUCGUGCCAGCAGCCGGGGUAAUA
rnacentral:rRNA from 1 species